rnacentral:rRNA from 1 species
GGCGGCGUGCUUAACACAUGCAAGUCGAACGAACCUUCGGGUUAGUGGCGGACGGGUGAGUAACGCGUGAGAAUCUGCCCUCAGGAGGGGGACAACAGCUGGAAACGGCUGCUAAUACCCCAUAUGCCGCGAGGUGAAACGAAUUUCGCCUGAGGAUGAGCUCGCGUCUGAUUAGCUAGUUGGUGUAGGUAAUGGCUCACCAAGGCAUCGAUCAGUAGCUGGUCUGAGAGGAUGAUCAGCCACACUGGUACUGAGACACGGACCAGACUCCUACGGGAGGCAGCAGUGAGGAAUAUUGGACAAUGGGGGCAACCCUGAUCCAGCCAUGCCGCGUGAGUGAAGAAGGCCUUAGGGUUGUAAAGCUCUUUCAGAUGUGAAGAUGAUGACGGUAACAUCAGAAGAAGCUCCGGCUAACUUCGUGCCAGCAGCCGCGGUAAUACGAAGGGAGCGAGCGUUGUUCGGAAUCACUGGGCGUAAAGCGUGCGUAGGCGGAUAAGAAAGUCAGAAGUGAAAUCCCGGGGCUCAACCCCGGAACUGCUUUUGAAACUCCUUGUCUAGAGUAUGGUAGAGGAUAACGGAAUUCCGAGUGUAGAGGUGAAAUUCGCAGAUAUUCGGAGGAACACCAGUUGCGAAGGCGGUUAUCUGGGCCAUUACUGACGCUGAGGUACGAAAGCGUGGGGAGCAAACAGGAUUAGAUACCCUGGUAGUCCACGCCGUGAACGAUGUAUGCUAGUUGUCGGGGGUUCUGCCUUCGGUGACGGAGUUAACGCAUUAAGCAUACCGCCUGGGGAGUACGGUCGCAAGAUUAAAACUCAAAGGAAUUGACGGGGACCCGCACAAGCGGUGGAGCAUGUUGUUUAAUUCGACGCAACGCGAAGAACCUUACCCACACUUGACAUCCUUCUUUGGGCUUUCAGAGAUGAUUGCUUUCGGUUCGGCCGGGGAAGUGACAGGUGCUGCAUGGCUGUCGUCAGCUCGUGUCGUGAGAUGUUAGGUUAAGUCCUGCAACGAGCGCAACCCUUAUCGUCUGUUGCUACCAUUUAGUUGGGCACUCUGACGAGACUGCCGGUGAUAAGCCGGAGGAAGGUGGGGACGACGUCAAGUCAUCAUGGCCCUUACGUGUGGGGCUACAAACGUGCUACAAUGGCUACUACAAUGGGCUGCGAGGUCGCGAGGCCAAGCUAAUCUCUAAAAGUAGUCUCAGUUCGGAUUGUUCUCUGCAACUCGAGAGCAUGAAGUCGGAAUCGCUAGUAAUCGUGGAUCAGCAUGCCACGGUGAAUACGUUCCCGGGUCUUGUACACACCGCCCGUCACAUCAUGGGAGUUGGUUCUGCCCGAAGAUGGUGCGCUAACCUUUUAGGAGGCAGCCAGCCACGGUAGGAUCAGCGACUGGGAUGAAGUCGUAACAAGG